rnacentral:rRNA from 1 species
CAGUAGCCGCGGGAAUACAGAGGGUGCAAGCGUUAAUCGGAAUUACUGGGCGUAAAGCGCGCGUAGGUGGUUUGUUAAGUUGAAUGUGAAAUCCCCGGGCUCAACCUGGGAACUGCAUCCAAAACUGGCAAGCUAGAGUAGGGCAGAGGGUGGUGGAAUUUCCUGUGUAGCGGUGAAAUGCGUAGAUAUAGGAAGGAACACCAGUGGCGAAGGCGACCACCUGGGCUCAUACUGACACUGAGGUGCGAAAGCGUGGGGAGCAAACAGGAUUAGAUACCCCGGUAGUCCCUGUCUCUUAUAC